rnacentral:rRNA from 1 species
UGGGGAAUAUUGCACAAUGGGGGAAACCCUGAUGCAGCGACGCCGCGUGAGCGAAGAAGGUUUUCGAAUCGUAAAGCUCUGUCCUAUGAGAAGAUAAUGACGGUAUCAUAGGAGGAAGCCCCGGCUAAAUACGUGCCAGCAGCCGCGGUAAUACGUAUGGGACGAGCGUUGUCCGGAAUUAUUGGGCGUAAAGGGUACGUAGGCGGUCUAUUAAGUCAGGUGUGAAAGCGUGAGGCUUAACCUCAUUAAGCACUUGAAACUGAUAGACUUGAGUGAAGGAGAGGAAAGUGGAAUUCCUAGUGUAGCGGUGAAAUGCGUAGAUAUUAGGAGGAAUACCGGUGGCGAAGGCGACUUUCUGGACUUUUACUGACGCUCAGGUACGAAAGCGUGGGGAGCAAACAGG